rnacentral:lncRNA from 1 species
GUUUGCCUGAGGGGCGGGGUGGCAGCCUGGCAGGGGGUGGUAGCGCUGGAGACUGGUUGUCCAUUAUCCUGAGCUACCCCAGACAGGCCAACUUGUAGAGGAAUCCCCGCCCUCGUCUAUAUAACUCCACCCUGUUUAUAGCCGCCACUUAUCUUUUAAAGACCUUUGUGUAUAAUCUUGUUUUCCCAAACAGGUUAUAAAUUCUUUCAGAUAAGGAAUUCACUUUUUGCCUUUUUAGUCUGCUACAUGGAUGAAUGCCAAUAAUUGUUUAUGCAAAAGCACUCCGAUAGAAAUGAGUUAAUUAACACCUGGUUAGUACCAACUCUGGUUCCUGCACUGAGCGGUGCUCUUUGGGGCUGUUUUUGCCCAGUUCACAGCCCUGAAGAAUGCAAUCAUGAGACAAUUAGAGAGCAGGGCAAAGAAAUCUAUAAUCAACUCCGUGGAGGGGUGAGGUAAAGGCUGCUGCAAGUAUAGCAUCUGUCUGUGGUCUUGUCUGUUGAUGGGGGUAACCAAGCUGCCAGCCUCGUGGGCCACACCCUGGCUGACUCCAGUGGGCCUUACUCUGGAAACGGGAUCUGGGGGACUCGAAGGUCCAGCCACCUUGCCUCGUCAUGUCACAAGGGAGUGGCUGGAGUUCGGUGGGCUCCGAGAUGGGCCCAGCAGAAAGAAGUACCUGUCAUCCUUAGCAAGACAUGAAGACAAGGGCCAUUCCCCAGUCAAUCUUGGGGUCGCUAUGUGGCCUGAGGAGAGGUGGAAACCCGGGCUGAGAUUUUCAGAAGGUCUUUGGAAACUCAGUAUCACCAACCAGGUAAGAGCCAGGCCACUUGGGCCCGGGAUUUAGGCCGCCAAACCCCAAGCUCCAAACAGAGCGCCCCCCCCCCAUCCCCACUGCAUUCUGGAACAUGUAGUCCCCUUUGCAAUACCCCUGUGGGUACAGAAAAAGAAUAACAAAAGCGGGGCAUACUGGGAGCUUCAGCACCAAGGCGGGACGCCCGGAAAGCGGAUAUACGA